UCACGACCGUACCGCAAACCGACACUAUGCGCGAGAUGAGUAUUCUAAGGCGCUUGAGAGAACUCAGGAGAAGGAACUCGGCAAAUUGACACCGUAACUUCGGAAGAAGGUGUGCCUUUAGUAGGUGAACCAUUUACUUGGGGAGCCCAAUGAGGCUGCAAAAAAUCGGUGGCUGCAACUGUUUAUUAAAAACACAGCACUCUGCUAAGACGAAAGUCGACGUAUAGGGUGUGACGCCUGCCCGGUGCUGGAAGAUUAAAUGAUGGGGUGCAAGCUCUUGAUUGAAGUCCCAGUAAACGGCGGCCGUAACGAUAACGGUCCUAAGGUAGCGAAAUUCCUUGUCGGGUAAGUUCCGACCUGCACGAAUGGCGUAAUGAUGGCCACACUGUCUCCUCCUGAGACUCAGCGAAGUUGAAAUGUUUGUGAUGAUGCAAUCUCCCCGCGGAAAGACGGAAAGACCCCAUGAACCUUUACUGUAGCUUUGUAUUGGACUUUGAACAGAUCUGUGCAGGAUAGGUGGGAGGCUUUGAAGUGUGGUCGCUAGAUCGCAUGGAGCCAACGUUGAAAUACCACCCUGGCGUGUUUGAGGUUCUAACCUAGGUCCAUUAUCUGGAUCGGGGACAGUGCAUGGUAGGCAGUUUGACUGGGGCGGUCUCCUCCCAAAGUGUAACGGAGGAGUUCGAAGGUACGCUAGGUACGGUCGGACAUCGUGCUAAUAGUGCAAUGGCAUAAGCGUGCUUAACUGCGAGACUGACAAGUCGAGCAGAUGCGAAAGCAGGACAUAGUGAUCCGGUGGUUCUGUAUGGAAGGGCCAUCGCUCAACGGAUAAAAGGUACUCUGGGGAUAACAGGCUGAUACCGCCCAAGAGUUCAUAUCGACGGCGGUGUUUGGCACCUCGAUGUCGGCUCAUCUCAUCCUGGGGCUGUAGCCGGUCCCAAGGGUAUGGCUGUUCGCCAUUUAAAGAGGUACGUGAGCUGGGUUUAAAACGUCGUGAGACAGUUUGGUCCCUAUCUUCCGUGGGCGCUGCAGAUUUGAGGAAGCCUGCUCCUAGUACGAGAGGACCGGAGUGGACGAACCUCUGGUGUAUCGGUUGUCACGCCAGUGGCAUUGCCGAGUAGCUAAGUUCGGAAGAGAUAACCGCUGAAAGCAUCUAAGCGGGAAACUCGUUUCAAGAUUAGAUCUGCCGGGGCCUUGAGCCCCCUAAAGAGUCGUUCAAGACCAGGACGUUGAUAGGUCAGGUGUGGAAGCCA
rnacentral:rRNA from 1 species